AAGCGCCGGUUCCUCCGCGGCGGGACGCGCGGGGGUCGCGGCUGUCCGCUGCCUGUGCCGCCCCUUGGGCUGGGGGUGGUCUUGUGGCAAGGGAGGUGUCUCACGGUGAGCCCGGGGAAAUAGGGUAUUUCGAGUCGGGCUAAAUAGUUUGGUUUGGGAGUUUGUUUAAAGGGAAUAACUGGUCUUAUGGAAUUUUUCCUUAAACGAAAGGUGAUACCUCCUCAUCUUGCGGUGGGUGCCAGCAGAGGGGCUGCUUGUGUGUACCCAGUGGUCUGGGUGGUAUCUUCUUGGAGUUUUGACCUGUAAAAACCAGGGACGCUUUUUAAUUGCUCUCCUAGUAAAGUCCUAUAGAACGCUCAGCCAGCGCUUGUUGGGAUGGUGUGGGUUCUCUCCAUUUGUUUUAGCGGGGCAUUGUUGAGGAGUGUGCGUUAAACAUCGCUUUUGUCUUUGUAUGGAAUUAGCACGUACCUACAAGCAGAUUUCUUAGGCUGACUCAGGGGCAAUGGUUAUACAUGAAGCUGACCGAGUUCCUGUCAUAAGACAGGUGUAAGUUUGCCAGAUUUUAGGGAUGAAACUUUGUGUCAGAAAAUUUUCAAUUAAUGCAGUCAUUUGUUCAUGUACAUAGUUGUUUUUACAGAAAUAUAUGAAAAAUAUUUUGCAUAUCUUAUAUAAAGUAAAUGUGUUUUAGCUAUUUCUGAAAGCACGGGCAAACCACCCAGCUCUGUGGGGUUGUGUCUUUGUUGUAUUUUGGGGGGUUUAUCACAUCCAUCAUGCUGAGAGGUGUAUUUGCCUUUUUUCUUCAAGCAGGAGUUUCAGCAUUAACCGUCUGCACACAUCUCAUUUGGGAGUCACCUUUGGGCUAUGUAUUCCCCGAGGUUUGGUCAACUUUGUCACCUUUCGAAAAAAAGAAGUCUGUGGGCCUGCAUUUAACAUAGAGCUUCAUAAGAAAAUUCUUCAAAGAGUCCAUUUGAACAAGGCCUGAGUGUGGCUGUUCGGUAACGUCUGCCCAUGGCUGGGGUAAGCUGCUGCAUCUAAUGGCUCUGCAUUCCUUCUGGGGGGCAAAGCUUUUGACAGGAAAAAUAAAUGUGAAGCAAAGUCUUUUCUUCACAUUGAAGGACCAAUGCCAAAAGGAAUGGAGCAUUUUCACAGAAGUAAACAGAAGUUGAUGGAGGCAUGCACCAACCAAUAUAUUCUGAACUCUUGUUUCAUGGCCUAGUUAUAUAAAGAGAAAUCCUAACUUGUGUUAGAAAGGAAUGAUUCUCUGAGGAGAAAGAAAAGAGAUGCUUUCUCGGUAAGGAGGACAUAGGGCCUACUUUGAGCCUUUAUUUGUCAAGAAGAUAAAUGCAUGUCACUGAGAAGAGAUGUAAGUAUCAUCCAGCAGUCACAACUCUGUAAGUACAAAGACCUGAAAGAUGUCUUCUCCAAGGCAUGCUGAUGUAGUUGCUACUAUGGAAGGCAAAUAAAAAGUGAAUAAGGAUCAGGGACUUGUUUAUUGGUGGCUUCAUGUACACAUUCACAUUCAACAUCUCUGAUACUCAAGAGCUAUUCUAGGAACCACCCGUCUGAUUUUCAUGUUUGCUUUCUUGCACAGCUCUGGUGCUCGCUCUGUCAUAAGUGAAGGAACAGGAGAGGAAGAGGCAAGGAAAAAUGUAAAGGAAGACAGUCAGCUCAGCUGCCCGCCUUCUUGACAAAACAGCUCUACUCACUUAAGUCCCUCUAGGUAGCAGUGCAAUGGCAAUGAGAAGGGGAACAUCUACUCUUAUGUCAGUUAUUCCAAAUUACGCAGCUUAUACUAGUAACAGCAACAUAUCAGUUUAUGGGGAGGGAACUCAUAUCUGUGACAUGCCAAGGCCAACAGAGAGUUACAGGGAUGUGAUUACUGUGCAUAAUAAUCGUGCGUAAGAAGCAAGGAAAAGGCAACUGUGUGUGGAAGACAGCGGAGGACUCCUGCAGCACUGUCAAAGCCAGCGGGGCUAGAGGUGAUAUGCCGUGUAAGUGUUGUUUGUGCCAAUUUGAACCCUGAAGGGGUGAAUCUGAUUUUCCUCUCCAUUUUUUUGUUCCCCUUAGACUUCAAUAUGUCUGAGGGAAAGGGGCAUAACAUACAACUUCCAUAGCAGGUCCAAAUCUUCCUCCUUUCUGCAUUGCCUUUUGGGGAAUGAACAUUCUUGUAUACAGAUCUUCCUCUUUUUUACAGGCACAGUGUUCUUGUGAAGACAUAUGGCUGGAAGGUCCUUAUUAUUCUCACUUUCAUCCUGAAAGCAUUCCACUGUCUCAGAUAUCCAAAACUAUGAAAAACUGUGGACAUAGGAGGUCUGAAAGCCAUGUCCAGUGUAACCGAGGCCCUGCAAGCUCUACUAAUUAGUAUGGGAAAACCCAGUGAAGUAUUUCUUGUUACAUUGUAACAUAAGUGGUACAGGUUUUAGACUUCAGGAUAAUAGCAGUAGCUUAAAGAAAUUGGUACGUGUUUGUAAAUAUAAAAAGUGCAACAUAAGAUC